rnacentral:rRNA from 1 species
GAAAUCGCUGAAGUGGAACCGGAGAGAGUUAACAUAACUUGGUAGCUAUAUCCUCUAUGGUCGCUUAACUGUGGCUUUGGGGGGUGGACGCUACCUGUUGUUGCACUGACUGCGUUGAUCAUGCUUUCCGAACAAUGUAGUGUUGCCCACAUUGUGGUGUCUUGCUUAUUGGAAGGUUUGUCAUGGUUAACGUUAAGCCUUAGUCCCGAGGGAGUCAGUGUGAAAGUUAACCACCUUUCCGACCCGUCUUGAAACACGGACCGAGGAGUGUAAUUUAUACGCGAGUCAAAGGGAGUGGAAUACCCUAUGGCUUAAUGAAAGUAAAGGCCGGUUAACCGGUUGA